AUGGGUUUUAUUAAAUUCCCUAAAUGGGACAUCAAGCUCAUAAACUCCCAGCUAGCUCAUUGUUUUUGGGAUGAUUAUGAAGGCCACCACAAAUAUCAUCUGACUGCCUGGAACUCUAUUAACAUGAGGAAAGAGUUUGGGGGUUUUGGUAUUACUGACCUAGGAGAUAUGAAUCUGGCUCUACUAGCCUCUUGGGUCAGUAGGUACUACAAUGUUGAGGGCAAAAUUUGGAAGAAUAUUAUUGACUCCAAGUACAACCCUCAGAAUAGCAACAUAUUUGCUUGCUCUGCUAAUGGAGCCUCCCCUUUUUGGAAAGGGGUAAUCUGGGCAGCCCAAGCUGCCAAACCUGGCUUUUCCUGGAAAAUAGGAAAUGGCAAAAGAACUAGGUUUUGGGAAGAUCACUGGUUUGGCAAUGCCACUUUAUCCACCCAAUAUUGGGACUUAUACAAUUUAGCGUAUGAGCAUAAUGUCACUAUUGAUAAAAUCUAG
rnacentral:rRNA from 1 species